UCCAUCCAUUUUGAGAUGUUCGAGAGCAGAAAAAGACUCGAAGAACAUAGCAAUAUCACAUUUUUGUUUCCCCCCACUCCAUUCCAAAUCCACAACUUAAAGUCCUGCUAGAAGAGCGAUAUACUUAAAGUGGAUGGAACUUAUGUUCCCACGAAGUUGAAGGAUCUCAGAAUAGGAGCAUUAAUUUCACCGCGACGUAAACGCGAAAUAUCCAACUGCAAUUGCUCGAGCAACAUGCAAUGAGAUCUUAAACUUUCAAGAGAUUUGGAUGAAAUUGUGACGUCACGUAAUUCCAGGCUAAUUAACUUUUCAAAUCCUU
rnacentral:lncRNA from 1 species